GUUAAGAACUGGUCUACUGUAGAAAAGGAGAAACAAUCGGGUGUCCUAAAGCAUGUAAACAUAUGGGAGCCUAGAAAAAUAAGUAUCAGACAAUCCCACCUGCAACAAGAGUACAGAGGAGUGGAAAUUACUGGGCAAGACAUUAUGAAUUUUUCUAUAAGUGAAGAAAGAUCUUCAGGUUUCUUAUAUAAAGUUUGGAGUCACUCAAAAUGCUCAUCAUAAUCUUCAAA
rnacentral:lncRNA from 1 species